rfam:TPA: Bos taurus chromosome 20, whole genome shotgun sequence.
UCCCUGAUGGUCCAGUGGUUAGGACUCUACCCUUCCAUUGCAGGGGUCACAGGUUCAAUCCCUGAUCAGGGAA